GUCCAUAGUCCCACAUCGCCACAUCGCCUGUGAGACGCAUUCUCUCUAGCUUCAUAUAUCCUUACCAAACCUUCCCCACAACUGCAGUUAUGGAGAAGUUAGGGUGGUGGGUCUCUAUGUAACAGGGACAACCCAGAACAACCUCUCUUCAUAGUAAAAGCUAGGUUAGGCUUGACGGAAUCACCUAAGGAGGAAGAAUGGAUUGAAAGUCUACAGAGAGUCUCAUUGAUGGGAAAUGAUAUCAAAGCAUUUAGAGGCCAACCAAUUUGUCCCUGACUAUCUACUUUGCUGCUACGUCAUGAUUUUGUUUCAAGGGACUCUGAGAUCACCUUCUCUGACACAUUUUUCAAGCAUAUGCACAAUCUUAAAGUCCUUAGUUGCGCAGCUCAAGCGUUUACCUUCACUAGCUAUACUUCAGAAACUAAGACUGUUAAAACUUAGAAUGCUAUUUUCCUUGAAAGAAUUGCCCCAUGGGCUCGAAAACUUAGAAAAACUUAGACAUCUAAAUAUUUCUGACGGACGAUGGGGAGGUUUUCCAUCUGGAGCACUUCUAAAGAUGUCCUGCCUUGAAAUUCUUUACAUGCACGGAAGCUCAAGUGGUUAUGUUGUAGAUAAUUCAGCAGUUGGGGGAAAUCAUAAGCCUAAAGAAUUUGACCAGAUUUUCAGCUGAUUUCAAUGAUGUGUUGACCUUUAAUAGCUACAUUAGUAGAGCUGAUGAAUUUGAUCUCUUGAAAAAUUUUGAUAAUCUUCUAUUUACCGUAAGUCAUAAAUAUGAUGGACAUAAUGUUGAAAAUGAGAGCAUGGACAAAGUUAUGUUGCCUCAUGCUGCAAACUGUUUGGAAAUUGAUGGUUGCAAUUUUGUCUAAUUGUUAGAUUAUUUUGGGUCUGAUGAAUUAAAACGGUUGAUAUACUGUACAAUCAAAAAUGUAAUAAAAUGUUGUGGAUUGGAGGGGAUGGAGAAAUUGUGCUUCCUUGCUUAAAAAGGCUUCAUUUAUAUGACCUUUACAAUUUUAAGGGCUUGUGCAAAGAAAAAGCCCAUGAGGAAACCUUCAAGAACUUGACACACCUGAGUAUUGAUUAUUGUCACAAGUGAAAGUAUUUGUUACCAAUUGAUUUGCUGGUAAACAACCUUCAAAAUCUUGAAGAAAUAUCAAUAGAUGAGUGCCAUGAGAUGGAGGAUAUAAUUUUAGGUGAAGCUCGUGCAGAUAUGGCUACCCUUCCAAAGUUAAAGAGAUUUAGUUUGUGUUGCUUGCCCAGGUUGACAAGAAUUUGCCAAGGGAAAUUGGUUUGUAAUUUAGUUUGGGAUAUCAACCUAAUGUUUUGUCCUGAAUUGAAGAGGCUCCCUUUCUUGAUAAACAAUGAGUCAUUUGUUUCUGCGACAAUCAUAGGGAGCCAAGCAUGGUGGGAAACAUUGGCAUGGGAAGAUCUACUGUUGAAAGAACAUGUUUCAGCUUUAUUUGUUGAGGGAUUCGAGCAUGCUACAAGGCUCAGGAAUGCAAUUCCAAAUGAAUCGGCAAAACAAAUGUUCAAAAUCCCCUAUGCGUUUGUGACUUACUGAGAGGACGGAUUCGAAUCUCAACUCACUCAGGAUUACGGCACAAGUUUGUUAAAGAUUGCAAGGUUCAAUUUUCAAGAUGAGAAAGAUGAGAAAGAUUUGUUAUCAAUCGGGUCCCUUAAUUUGGGAGGAUGUUUUCAAAUGUAUUCAUAUUAGUAAUUGUAUUGAGUUGGAUUAAGACUUGUUGAUCUUGUUCUAUUUCGAUGUUAUUUAAUGAAUGUUGGAGUGUUUGUGGCUUAUGUUGUAUGUGUUAUAUAGAAAAUAUUGUGGUCUUGCGGAGUAAUACUCUUUAGUAGAGUUUCUAAAGUGUAUCCACGUGACCAAUUCAGUCUUCAUGAACAUGUAAAGUUUACAUGUUUAGCA